rnacentral:rRNA from 1 species
UACGGAGGGUGCGAGCGUUGUCUGGAAUCACUGGGCGUAAAGGGCGCGUAGGCGGCCUGAUAAGUAGGGGGUGAAAUCCUGCGGCUUAACCGCAGGGCUGCCUUCUAAACUGUCAGGCUAGAGCACGGUAGAGGCAGAUGGAAUUCCCGGUGUAGCGGUGGAAUGCGUAGAGAUCGGGAAGAACAUCAGUGGCGAAGGCGGUCUGCUGGGCCGUUGCUGACGUCGAGGCGCGACAGCGUGGGGAGCAAACAGG